rnacentral:rRNA from 1 species
AAUCAACGCUGGCGGCGUGCCUAACACAUGCAAGUCGCACGAGAAAGGGAUUUCGGUCCUGAGUAAAGUGGCGCACGGGUGAGUAACACGUGACUAAUCUACCCUCGAGUGGGGAAUAACCUAGGGAAACCUGGGCUAAUACCGCAUAACACUUACGAGUCAAAGCAGCAAUGCGCUUGGGGAGGAGGUCGCGGCAGAUUAGUUAGUUGGCGGGGUAAUGGCCCACCAAGACGANGAUCUGUAUCCGGCCUGAGAGGGCGCACGGACACACUGGAACUGAAACACGGUCCAGACUCCUACGGGAGGCAGCAGUGGGGAAUUUUGCGCAAUGGGGGAAACCCUGACGCAGCAACGCCGCGUGGAGGAUGAAGUCUCUUGGGACGUAAACUCCUUUCGACAGGGACGAUAAUGACGGUACCUGUAGAAGAAGCCCCGGCUAACUUCGUGCCAGCAGCCGCCGCGGUAAC